rnacentral:tRNA from 1 species
UUUAGGGAGACCUACACCCCUUAGAUAUCGAAAAGCAAACAGCUAUAUAGAUAGUAAGUUGGUCACGCCCUAGGUCGGUCGCAGACAUUUGCAAUACGUUCAACGCUUUCAAACUAUGAUGAAGGUUCGUUUAUGGGCUAUUAGCUCAGGUGGUUAGAGCGCACCCCUGAUAAGGGUGAGGUCCCUGGUUCGAGCCCAGGAUGGCCCACCUGAAUCAAUUAAAAAUGUAGAAUUAGAAAUUAAAAAUCAAAUAAAUUAAAUUUUUAAUUUUUACUUAGCAAUUUUUAAUUGUAUCUGGGGGUUUAGCUCAGUUGGUAGAGCGCCUGCUUUGCAAGCAGGAUGUCAGCGGUUCGAGUCCGCUAACCUCCACCUGUGGCUGUUGCCACUGAUUAAAAAUAUUGAGAGUUCCAGCAACAUGGCUUAAUUGAAGUCAGACUGCUGAGAUUUUUCUCAGUCAGAACCUUGAAAACUGCAUAGUAACGCGAAAUUAGCAGGCAGACACAGACAUUCUUAGUGCUGAGUACUGAGUGCUGAGUACUGAGUAAAAUCAGUGCGAAGUGACGAGGUAAGCAGAACUAACUAUUUGUGAAUGCAAGUCAUUAAAAGACCAAAAGAAUUGAGU